UUUUUUUUUCACCCGCGCGCGUGUUUGAUCCUGUUUGUGUGGCGCAGUUGAAAUCAAAAAUUCUCAAGUCGAAUCGCGUGUGCUCGUGAAGGAACAACAUCCGGCGUUCGGAACAAAUACACCGGGUGACCGAAUCGGAACGGCUCUGGGAUGGCGGAAUUUUCGCAUAUUUGGGGACUUCUUCUACCAGGCCCGGCGCCUGCUGCGGACACUUCCGGCCGGAUUUGUUCAGGAUGGUCGUUUCGUCUGGAGGCGAAAAUCGUUAGGGGCCUAUUCCACUGAGGAUUGUGCUUCAUAAAUACGCGAGAGUUCAUCCCAAGUACGAAGCAGUAGUUCUGGCACCGGCUACAAACAUUUCGAACAACGUCAGAAAGUUCGGAUUGAAGCAGAAUAUUAAAAGAAAACGACGCGGAAAAAAAGUACUAUUUUUUUUAAAUCUGCGAAAAAAACUAUAAAAAUACAAUAAAACUUACCAUAUUGACCAUUAAUUUUAAUGUAUAAAUAUAUGUUUUACAGUACAAUUUGGUGGAGAGAAAACAAUAAAUACAAUGCAAAUACAAUGAA